GUGAGCUGUGCAGCCUCUCAAAAGUAGGUCAACUCCUCCCCCUCCAGAUUGGCAGAGCCUACUUAAGCCACCUGUGGCAGGUUAGCUGCCUCUUUCUCCUUUGUCUUUGCCUGGUGGCUGCCACAUGGUCAGACCUGAGUUUCCUUCCUGGUUGUGCACUUUUACCUGGUCAUCUUGGUGUCCACUGAAUCAAGUGGUGUUAAGCAGGAUCAGCGGACAGCUGGGUAAAUGUAGCUACCUGGGCAGGUAUGAGAAGCUGCAUAUUGUCAACAGGAAGUGUCUGAAAUUACAUCUUUUGACAGUGUAAUGAUUUUGGUUUUUUAUUUCAGACACGAUCAGCUGCUGUUUUGUCUUGUUUUGUCCACUGUUUAGCCCACUGUUUAGCCUUUAGUUUUGCUGUAGUUUGCUUGUUCUGUUUUGGCAGCAUUUUAUCAAAUUGUCAUUAAAAUAGGCCUUUUUAGCUGGACCAACUGGUUUUAUAUAGGUUUUAACUAUUUCUUUUGUGUAACUUUUUCUUUCUUGUCCCUUACAGUGCAGUGGUUGCUGGCUAGCGGUGGAGGCUAGGCACUCUGGGUGGUUCCCUGCACCCUUUUGUUGUAGUGA